rnacentral:rRNA from 1 species
GAAUUUAAUAUAAUUUAAUAUAUAAAUUUGUGUAUAAAUAAUAUAGUUAAUAAUAUUUAGUUGGGAGGAUUAUUAAAUUUAAUAAACUUUAAAUAUGAAUUAGGUUGUGGAUUGAUAUAUAGAAUUUUUUUGAAUGAUUAAUAAAUUAAAAUAGAAUUAAUUACCUUAGGGAUAACAGCGUGAUAUUUUUAUGAAGAUCUUAUUGAUAAAAGUGAUUGC